GAAAUAUAUAAAAAAAUAAGCUUCUAACUUAAUUUUAAAGCAUUUAAUUGUUUGUAUUUCU
rnacentral:tRNA from 1 species